rnacentral:rRNA from 1 species
GGCGGACGGGUGAGUAACGCGUGGGUAACCUGCCUCAUACAGGGGGAUAACAGUUGGAAACGGCUGCUAAUACCGCAUAAGCGCACAGUACCGCAUGGUACCGUGUGAAAAACUCCGGUGGUAUGAGAUGGGCCCGCGUCUGAUUAGCUAGUUGGUGGGGUAACGGCCUACCAAGGCGACGAUCAGUAGCCGACCUGAGAGGGUGACCGGCCACAUUGGGACUGAGACACGGCCCAA